GAUGAACGCUGGCUACAGGCUUAACACAUGCAAGUCGAGGGGAAACGCCGGGGAAGCUUGCUUCCCCGGGCGUCGACCGGCGCACGGGUGAGUAACGCGUAUCCAACCUGCCUCUGACUGAGGGAUAACCCGUCGAAAGUCGGCCUAAUACCUCAUGGUAUCGUCUGCGGGCAUCCAACGACGAUUAAAGAUUUCAUCGGUCAGGGAUGGGGAUGCGUCUGAUUAGCUUGUUGGCGGGGUAACGGCCCACCAAGGCUACGAUCAGUAGGGGUUCUGAGAGGAAGGUCCCCCACAUUGGAACUGAGACACGGUCCAAACUCCUACGGGAGGCAGCAGUGAGGAAUAUUGGUCAAUGGGCGAGAGCCUGAACCAGCCAAGUAGCGUGCAGGAAGACGGCCCUAUGGGUUGUAAACUGCUUUUAGGCGGGGAUAAAGUGAGGGACGUGUCCCUCAUUGCAGGUACCGCAUGAAUAAGGACCGGCUAAUUCCGUG
rnacentral:rRNA from 1 species